AACGAACGCUGGCGGCAGGCUUAACACAUGCAAGUCGAACGCCCCGCAAGGGGAGUGGCAGACGGGUGAGUAACGCGUGGGGACAUACCCUUUUCUACGGAAUAGCUCUGGGAAACUGGAAUUAAUACCGUAUACGCCCUACGGGGAAAGAUUUAUCGAGGAAGGAUUGGCCCGCGGUGGAUUAGCUAGUUGGUGGGGUAAAGGCCUACCAAGGCGACGAUCCAUAGCUGGUCUGAGAGGAUGAUCAGCCACAUUGGGACUGAGACACGGCCCAAACUCCUACGGGAGGCAGCAGUGGGGAAUAUUGGAAAAUGGGCGCAAGCCUGAUCCAGCCAUGCCGCGUGAGUGAUGAAGGCCUUAGGGUUGUAAAGCUCUUUCACCGAUGAAGAUAAUGACGGUAGUCGGAGAAGAAGCCCCGGCUAACUUCGUG
rnacentral:rRNA from 1 species